GACGAACGCUGGCGGCGUGCUUAACACAUGCAAGUCGAACGGAAAGGCUCCAGCUUGCUGGAGUACUCGAGUGGCGAACGGGUGAGUAACACGUGGGUAAUCUGCCCUGCACUCUGGGAUAAGCCUGGGAAACUGGGUCUAAUACUGGAUAUGACCUUUCUCCUUAUGGGGUUUGGUGGAAAGUUUUUCGGUGUAGGAUGAGCCCGCGGCCUAUCAGCUUGUUGGUGGGGUGAUGGCCUACCAAGGCGACGACGGGUAGCCGGCCUGAGAGGGUGAUCGGCCACAUUAGGACUGAGAUACGGCCCAGACUCCUACGGGAGGCAGCAGUGGGGAAUAUUGCACAAUGGGCGGAAGCCUGAUGCAGCGACGCCGCGUGAGGGAUGACGGCCUUCGGGUUGUAAACCUCUUUCAGCAGGGACGAAGCGUAAGUGACGGUACCUGCAGAAGAAGCACCGGCUAACUACGUG
rnacentral:rRNA from 1 species